rnacentral:rRNA from 1 species
UACCAGCACCCCGAGUGGUCGGGACGAUUAUUGGGCCUAAAGCAUCCGUAGCCGGCCUUACAAGUCCUCCGUUAAAUCCAGCUGCUUAACAGAUGGGCUGCGGAGGAUACUAUAAGACUAGGAGGCAGGAGAGGCAAGCGGUACUCAGUGGGUAGGGGUAAAAUCCGUUGAUCCAUUGAAGACCACCAGUGGCGAAGGCGGCUUGCCCAGAAUGCGCUCGGACGGUGAGGGAUGAAAGCUGGGGGAGCAAACCGG